CUGCCUGCUGGGGUGCUGCCAGUGGGGAUUCAGCAGGGAGCUUUGCCUGCUACUGUCUUGGACGAGGCCAUCCCAAAGUCAGGGAGGGAGCUGAGAGUGCCCCAGGGGGAGCCUGGGCCACAAGCUUGGCCCUCUUUCACUUAGCCCUGUUGACAAGUCACAGAAUCACAGGAUGUUUGAGGCUGGAAGAGACCUGGUAGAGUUUGGAAAAGAGCUCUGGAGGUCACCUGGACCAACCCCCCUGAUGAAGCAGUCCCUCGUGUUCAGGAUGCUUUGUGAAUGGCCACAUUCUCCUCCUGGGAAUUGCUACAUCCAUGUUUGAUGUAGCUGCUUCUCCUUGUCCCCAGAGAUGGACAACGAGCUUCCUGAGAGACAGGCUGAUGUUCCUCUGGUACUAGAUAUACUGUGCUCCCUCAGCACUUGUGAAGUUUUCUCACAGUAAUACAAAGAAGAGAUAUUAUUUGCUUCAUGAACUGUGCGGACAGAUUGGACUACGGCAAGGAUUUCAAUGGCAGAAAGAGGCUCCUUGAAAAGCAUAAGUCUGAGCUCUUGGAAUUAAUGAGGUUAUUCUAGAAAAGCCAAGCUGCCUUGUGAAAGGUGAAACGUUCAUUCCCUUCCUAGCAACGUCCUUAGGAUUCACUAACUUCUGUUCCCCGAAUGAGUUGAUCUCGUGCUUGCACAGAUGACUCAGCCAAAUAACCCACCCAGGUUGAAUACCUACACUCAUUGCAAUAUACAUAAAAGUAGGCACAAGAAUUUGGUUAUCACAGUGUUCUUUACAUGCUGGAAGGUAUUACUGUGAUGGCCACAGCAUAAACGUGGAGGCAGAAAAGCAGAGAAGUCCAGAACAAAAAUAUCGAGGCAAGGUCUCUGCAGUUCAGAGCUCUAACUGCUAUUUUGCUUUUGUUCAAAAUACCUCGGAUAGUUGAAAAAGUCAACAGUUUCAUAACCAACCUUGGACAAGCUAAUCUUUGACUAGCAUAGUCAGCCAAGACAGAAACUUUUCUGAUAACUGCUGGUGUCAUUGAUCUUCACCUCGGUCAGCUCACUGCAGCCUCACACUUAUUCUGCCUGACUCCUGCAAGGCUGCUAUGGUACAGUUAAUAACAGUUAUUUGUCAAACCUCUCCCAACUGUGGUAGCUUCUGUGAUUUUGUUUAGCAUGCUCACAUAGGGUUCUUUGAACCCACAUUUAGGCCAGCAAAACUUAACACAAAGGUAAAUAAAAAUGCAUA